CGAAUCGACAAGAGUUAUUGGGCUGUACCAUUGAAACAGCGAAAAGGCGGAUUCCUACCAGUCCAUGCAAUCAUUGCAACAUCCAACGCGUGCGAUAGAGGAGUCAGUAAUUGCCCAGUCAGAGUUGGCGAAUGACAGGGUGCAUUACUAACCAGUGCGACGAAGUGCAUGGGUGCACGGCGUGCCUCCCUUCAACGCCACCACCAAUGACCGGGGUAGAAUGCGCCAAUGCGCUGCUGCUCCGCUCACCCCCUUGAUCCGUGGUGUGCUUUGUGCAUGCGCGCGGGCAGAAUCAGCUGGCGGCAGAGACACCGCUGGGCGAGCACACAAUAGGAAGAUUUGUGCAUCCGUGCAAAUGACGGCUCGUUGGAUUUGAAGGUUACAGCUGAGCGAGAUCAACAGAAACAUUUUUCCCGAAAGACUUAGCCGAACUCAACUUGUGAGAGCCAAGGCAGACAUGAACAACACCACCGUGCUUCCCGCCAUCAUAGCAGGCAUCCCUGACGGAAACGGAGUCAUGGCCAGGUUUUUCACAAGCCCCCGGUUUGAGGCGUUCCGCGACGGCUGGAACAUUGCCUGCUUCACCGUGCUGCUGAUAUUCACGCUCACCGUGCUGUGCCUAGCUCUGGUGGCCGUCCUCUACGACAAGAUCGUACCCGUCGACCAGGACAGGGUUGAGUCAGUUGACGGCCAGGAGAAACGAGAGGAGGGCAAGCCGUGCAGGCUGCGAAGGCUGCUGUGUAGGAUCUCCCCAGACGAAAACGAGGUCGUGUGAACGUGCUGCUGCUAAAGCUGUGGUCAUCAUCUACCACCCGUAGACUGUUACGUCU